UACGUAGGGUGCGAGCGUUGUCCGGAUUUAUUGGGCGUAAAGAGCGUGUAGGCGGCCAUUCAGGUCAGCUGUGAAAACUCGAGGCUCAACCUCGAGACGUCGGUUGAAACCGUUUGGCUAGAGUCCGGAAGAGGAGAGUGGAAUUCCCGGUGUAGCGGUGAAAUGCGCAGAUAUCGGGAAGAACACCCGUGGCGAAGGCGGCCAACUGGACCGGUAUUGACGCUGAGGCGCGAAAGCGUGGGGGAGCAAACAGG
rnacentral:rRNA from 1 species